rnacentral:lncRNA from 1 species
AAUAAUUCGUUUUGGUGAACUUCGAUUUUGAUUAAACUAAGUAAUGUACUUUCGUUAACUCAAAAACAUACGAACCACAUUAAUCUGAAAACCACCAAAAUACUAAGGGCAUCCAAAAAAGGUUUCCAUAAAUGGAAAGUUUCCAAAAAGGGAAAGUUUCCUAAAAUAGAAAAUUUCCUAAUUAGGAGCUACAACACUAAUCGAAGAGGAACUUGACAACAACCUCUACGGUUUCUGCUGGAUUCUGCCCUCGCUGGAAUCACUCGUCGAAUUCCGGCAAUUUGCCGGAAAACUCCACCGGAUUCCGACGACUUGCCGUAAUUUCGCCAUAGCCUCCCCGUAAUCUCCAAAAUACCAAGUUCUCGACAUCCAAGAAAACAAAACUCCUUGAUUAGCAACCAAGCUUUUGUUCUCAAAACCACAACCAACACAUAACAACAAGGCACAAGGCUCACCUUUAAUCUGCUUGAAAUCAAAACCCAAUUGCUCCUCGGCCUCCUCCUAGUCGGAUUUCCACUUCUGAUCGUCCAAACCAACCUAGAAGUUCCUCAGUCGAGAAACCGAGCUUCACCUUGACUCAACCUCACAGCAGCUGCUCCAAAGCUUCCUAACUCUAUGAAUCAACUUCGCCAAGGAUGUACAACGCUCGUCGGAGAUUGUGGUGGCAGCUAGGACCCGAAGAACCUAGUGGCCGAAGCUAGGGAUUCGAAACCCAGAAAAACAAAGAAAGGGGGAAAUCUGAUUAGGGCUCUAUAUUUGGAAAUCGAAGCUCAAGGAAGACCGAAAACUAGAGGGAAGUGAUGAGUAUACCUUCAUGAAGCACAAGCACACCGGAAAAGAAAGGAUUUGGCCGGAAUUUGAGUUUUGGGGAUUUAGGGUUUUUGUUUCGAUCGGACGGGAUAGUUGGUGCCUGUCAAGAUGAUGGGAAGCAGUAGAGAGAGGAGAGAGAGACGAGUCAAUUGAGGGUGGUUGCUCAACCAACGACGGCCUGAUGGCGGCGCUCCGGCGUGGAGACGACGCAGAAGAGAGAGAGAGAGAAGAGAACAGAGGUCGGAGCUCGGGUCAACGCCCGAAUGGGGCUUUGACAAAGUCAAUCCUCUCUUAUCCUUUUAUACUUGUAUCAAUGGUCGAGAUCAAAACCCUAAAGAUCUAAUGGCCAAGAUUAAUAAUUAUAUCCUAAUUUCAGAAAAUUAAUUUCUUUUACCAACCUUCACUGAAUCGCAGAAAAUAGCUCUACACUCCAAAAAUAAUCUGAAGGCGCUGAAGAACCCGUGUCGACACGUACAUCGGGGUCUUAAAAGAGGAAUUUAACAUUUUGAGAAAAACUUGAAAAUGAACUCAAGGGUUAAAUUACCAAGUUACCGAGCACGGUUAAAUUCCUCAGUAACUCGUAGAAUACCCAGUAAAUAGGUAAAAUUAGGUCUAGGGUGUUACACUACUGCCGUGUCGACCGCAGACGUGUUACUGUCGUGUUGACGAGAGACGUGCUACUGCUGUGUCGACAUGAGAUGUGUUACUGUCGUGUCGACCGAAAACGUGCUACUGCCGUGUCGACCGCAGACGUGCUACUGUUGUGUCGACCGCAGAUGUGUUACUGCCGUGUCGACGAGAAACGUGCUACUGCCAUGUCAUUUUGCGUAAAUUUAUUUGAAAAAAUAGGUAUUUUAAUCAUUUCGCCUAUGAAAGUCUAGAUCAGAUUUGAUACCAUUAGUUUAGGCCUAGGCUUAUGUCCUAAUUUGUACAGAAAAUAUUAAAUAUAGGGUUUUUGUGUUUUUAAAUUUGGUCAUGUGUUAUUAUGUAAUUUUCCCGAUAAGUUUUAGAAAGACUAUGAGUUUUGAUAAGACCUAGAAAAUCUCGUAUAGAAUCAUAUUUAUAUCGAGUUAAUGGAGAGAUUGAAGUGACGUGUUUAAAGUUUGGUGACGUCAUACACAUCUUUUCCCAUUGGCGUGUGACAUUAGCCUUCUUCAAUCAAGCGAUGCGAAUCCUGAGCUUAAUAUUGAGGCCAGUGGGGUAAUGUUUUAGCCCAAAUCUUUAUUUGGAUAUUUAAUUAAAAGCCGGUGGGCCGAAUCUACGGCCCAAAGUAAAGUCUACUUUGCGAUUAUGUCAAAGCUUCGGCCCAUUUCUUGUGACGCAAGGAGACACAACAACG